rnacentral:rRNA from 1 species
UACAGAGGGUGCAAGCGUUAUUCGGAAUUAUUGGGCGUAAAGCGCACGUAGGCGGUCUUGUAAGUCUGGUGUGAAAUCCCUGAACUCAAUUCAGGAAGUGCAUUGGAUACUGCGAGACUAGAGAAUGGGAGAGGAGAGCGGAAUUCCUGGUGUAGCGGUGAAAUGCGCAGAUAUCGGGAAGAACACCUAUGGCGAAGGCAGCUCUCUGGGACGGUACUGACGCUGAGACGCGAAAGCGUGGGGAGCGAACAGG